GCUGCAGAUCCAGAUCCAGAUCCAGAAGUUCAGAUGUUAACGUGUGGGUUCAAAUUUCCUGAUUUCAGGCCAUCUCAGCCAAACACCUGCAGACCUGAGGCCAUUUUCUCACAUCUAUGUGAGUACAGUAGAGUGAGCCCAGAUAUCUUUAUCCAUCUGUAAUGUUAGUACAGAUCAAUAGAUGCCGCCAGUUCACUCAGUAUCAAUACUGCUUUCUACACGUAUAUUAAAACCAAACAAUAGUACAAUGUUGUGGAGAAAGCUUCAUUAAGAUUAUAUAUCUUUUUUAAUGAGUGUCUUGGGGCCAAGUUAUGUAGCAAUAACAAUGAGUUACAGGCAAACAACAUAAGACAGAUAACACAAAAUAUGCCACAAAAUCAGAGUUAAAGAAAAAUGAGAAAAUCAUGAAUAACAUUUCUAAUAUAUGUAAAAUAUUUUAUCCUAAAAACAACCCAAGAACUGUCUAAAACCAUGAAAAUAACUAACACCAAUCCAAAACUUUAUGUAACUUAAUGUUCAGAUUCUGAAAUACCCCAAAAUAUCAAUAACCAGAAGGGAGAGCACACAUUUUCUGCAGGAAAAUAGAUACAACACAAGGUUUAAACUUGUCAUGUGACUCAACGUACGAGAUCUUGAGCUUUUGAAAAAGUACUGUCUUCUAAAAAAUAAUUUCCCGAGGCUGUGUAAUUGAUCAUGGACGAGGUCAACUGACAUGGUCUAAAUCUGUAGUUCUUCCAUUAGCUCACACAUCAGAUGAUUCCUGCUGAGGAGAAUCUGGUGUUUUCUCUGAACUUGAGCAGCAAGAAUUUCAUUGUGAGACAUUCCAAAGUGAAAAUAAAACUUUAUUUAUUAUUCAUUUGGAGGUUGCUAUGUGCAUUCUGUGUGGGCAAGCUGCAUGGUAGGGAAGAAAAACAUUAUUUUGAUUGCAUGAGAUAAAAAAACAAACAUAUUUGGGGCUUCCAUUUGUUUGCACACAAAAGAAGAAAUGAUUUAUUACAGAAACACUUCAGCUAAAUUGCACGUCUCUGCGUAAAUGUGCUUUACCAGGAACAGCUGUUGCUCCUCUGUAAGCAGGGGAAUAUUAAUAAGCUUUUAUAAUAAUUUUCUUUGAAUGAGGGCACAAAUAAGCUACCAAUGUUUAUCAUUUCAGCUCCACAGUAGUUAUGCCUAGGACUAAUGCAUUUUUCUCAAACUGAUCACUCUUUUUGAAAAUCUUUUGCCUCGUUGUAAAAUGAGGUUCUGCUGUCACAGCAGACUUUCAAGUACUCAGGCUUAAAGGAUAGGUUCACAUUUUUUUCAAGUCUAUCUUAAAACAAUACUGACAUGCCCAUAUGUUCACUGAAAGAUUGACUGCUGUAAUCAUUUCUCCUGUCCAUAAUGGCUGUGAAGAGAUCCAUAAUGUGAUUUCACUUUAAGAAAUGGGGGACAAAAUCCACAGUCCUGGUUUUGUGCAAAAAUUACUUCUAAUGUUUGGCUGAAGAUAAUAUAAGGCUUCAGCAGUCUGAAUCAGUCAAAUCAAGUGGGUAUCUUCAAAAGUAAUUCCCUUUUUGUGUUUUUACAGACAGUUUCCUUGCUGAGCUGCAGUGGAGAAAAUAGCUACACAAAGAGGGAAUUUCAUACUAAAAACACUGUAACUUUGGAAGAUGCUAACAUGAUUUGUCUAACUCAGACAGCUGAAGCCUCAUACUGGCUUAAGAUGAACUUUAGAAUGCGUUUUUACACAGAACAAGGACUGUCCCCCAUUUCUUACAUCUAUAGCUAGUCGCUAACUCUGUCUGUCUGCUGUUUGGUGAUGAGCAGUUAGUGUACAGUGGGUUUUUAUGCUGAAAACAGCUUGCGUGAUCCAAAACAGUAAAGUUGUGGGCCGGACAGCUAAACAAUGAACUGAAACUUGGUUCAUCGCUAUGAGUGACCUGUUUCACAUUGUUUUUACAUUGUCAUUUGAUUUUUAUUAUAAAAAAUAUCGAUUAUAGCUGCUUUAGGUUUUUCCAAAUCUGCAGCGCACUCUCACUUGAAUGCAUGCAGAGAUAUUUUUACUCUCAAGGUGAGCACAAAGUUACUGUAUAUUUUCUGAGAUUGGUGGAUGAAAACAGCAGCAUGUUGUGUUUGCUCUCCUGCAAGUAAUCGCUCAAGAAUGCUGAAUUUGUAAAUCUGACGUCAAAACCACAUUUUGCUUGGAAGUCGUAUAAAAUGAUACACUGGUCUGAUGUCAAUGGUCAGGACGCUCUGUAACUUUGGCAGUAGUUAAAGUCUUCAAAGAGCAGGUCCCUGAAAGCUGAUGUCUAUUUAUGAAGGCACUUUGUGUUCUAACUUUAGUAUCCAGCACUCUGCACAACCCUGGUCUGAAUAUGGACACACAUUCUGACACUGAGGAGCCAUAAUGAGCAGCCUCAAGUUGUAGCAGAUAACUGUUGGAGGAUUGUGCUUUGUCUCCACAUUUAUUCAACUGCACUGCAAGAACUCUGCCAAGCAGGUCAUCGCAUCUAUACAACCUUAUUAAUACUUUCCGUUGGAGGAAAUUCUGUAGAAGCAAAAGCUGUUUCUGGGCUUUGCUGAAAUCUCCAACAGUGAGUUUUAAUUGGCCGUCCAGGAAAGAGAAUCGCAUUCAUGACCUUGAAUUAGCAGGCGAUGCGUUAAGCUACUGUCAGCUGAUGUUGAGCUGCUUAUCCUGGUGUUCCUGGAUUUUAUUUUUAACUUAUAACCUUAACCUAACACCUGGCAGGUCCAGGACCUGGGGGAGACCUCAGGCAUGAGUGGCAGUCAGGAGGAGGGAGGAAGAAACAUGAGAAAAUGACAUAUGUAGGUGCAAGUCUAAGCGGAAAUACACACAACACUUAGUGCGGAAGAAGUCGCAGCAGAGAGGAAGGAUGGAGGAGUUUGUCUCAUGACGGUGGUAAUGAGGAAGCCUGUGGUGUUGAUGCGAGUGUUGACAUGUGAGCAGAGAUGCAGACAAUUAAAUCAAAACCAUCACAUCUUACUGCAGAAGAGAGAACCGAGAAAGAGGAAGCUGUAGAAAUGAUGAGGGAAGAUAUGCGGACAGAGGACAUGAGGUGGUAUGGUGGGAGUGGAAACAGUGAAAAUAGCACAUGACGUGAUUUGAUUUUGACCUACAUUUAAUCUUAAGGCACUCCUCUUAUUCUGUCACUUGGCACAAAUCAGGUACCUUAGCUUUCAUCUGAGUAUUCCAGCAUGGUUUAAUCACUGUGACUGAGGAUUGUAUUGUUACCAAGAGAACAGAAAAACAACACAUAGCUGGCCUAAUUUUUCCCAGCAGGAAGUAGCAGCAGUGAAAAACCCCUUGCCCAGCUGUAGCUGAUUAUAGUGAGACAACCAGAUCCAACCUUUGUACCACAGCUUUUCCCUUCCUGUAAGGUUAGAGUUGUUUAAAUGAGUCUCUGGUCUGGACAGAAAAUUAUGUAAAUCAUAAAACAGUUUUCAACCUGUUUGGCUCAUGUGGACAAACAUGCAAUCAAGAAAUCUGCAGAGUAUGAAUGAAAUCCUAUUUACAUUUUGGUUACAGAAACAAUUCACCUUGACACCAAAAGAUCAUGCUAGCUUAACAUUUAAGGGUUAUCCAUUGCAGGAAACCCAGAGGUUAGAAAAAAUGCUUCAUUGAGCAAAAAGGCUGUGGUGGUAAGUAAGUACAUUUACUCAAGUACAAUUUUUCAGGCGCUUGUACUGUACUUUGGUAUUUCCAUUUUAUGCUACUUUAUACUUACCAAGAUUUUACAUACAAAACAUACGAUCAGCUUAUAAAUUAUGAUGCAUUUUAAUAUAUUGAAUACCCAAUAGGCCCCACCUCAACCAGCUACAUUAAUGAUGCAUCACUAGUAAUAAUUCAAUAAUAUACAAUGUUAUGUUUUUCUCAAAUAUUUUUACAAAAAUAACAUUUUGAAUGCAGCAGCUUUUACUUAUAACGGAGUAUUUUUACAGCUUGGAAUUAAUAUUACUGUGUGAACCAAAAAAGCUUGUUUUCACCCUUUUUGGCUCAUGUAGCCAAACAUUUUUCUAUUAAGAAAGAUGCAGACGAUUAAUAUACCCAUAUACACCACAUUUUGGUAAAGAAACAAUUGACUCCCUUGACUCCAAAAUAUCACGCUAUCUCAAUAUUUAGGGAUUAUACAUUACAGGAAACUCAGUAGCUACAUGCUUUCGACUGUCACCACAACCUGCAGGAACCCAUUAUUUCCACAUAAUCUUAUGUAGUCAUCUUGUUGAGUUCUCAUGAUAUAUAAGUUUUAGAGAAGUUUGGAAAUACAUACAGUAAAGCUGCCUGUGAAGAGACGUGAAAUUGCAUCAUACUGUUUAUACUCCCGUUUCAUCGACAGGGAAAUGCAUCACUAUUGCAGAAUAGGCGAAAUGUUGCAACUAGAAAAUUAAAAUGUGCACAUUUGUUAUGGAAUCCUGCUCGUUUCUCUGCAGUGUCUUACACCUAAAAGCAGGUGGGAAUCUUGGUACCAAGCUGACAACACUGAUAUAUGGGUGGUCUGAGCCAGAGCUACAUUUAGCUGAUGAUUCAAAGCUUGUGUCCCCAGCACUCAAGUGUAAUUUAGUCUGCCUACUUAAACAUUAAAAGUGGAGUCUAGAGGUGGCAGCACUAUAGUCAGCACUUCUUCUCCACUGACAAGGAUCUCGUGGCUGUGCGGUCAUACAAACUUCCAGUAACAAAACACCAUUUAACUGAGUGCAUGAGGUUAGUCAACCCAGACCAAAAAGAAAGCAGAGACAGCCCAAAAUCUUUGCCAGUAAUUUUAUUUUGAGAUAUUUUGUAGAACAGGGGAACCAAUGAUUACAAAACAAAAAGUCCAUAAGUGUUCUACAUGCUACACCUUAACCUAAUUCAUGCUUGCCUGGAAAAAGUACAUAGAAAUUUAA